AUUAAUAUACAAUAAUUCUGCCUUUGUACAGUAUCUUGUCUCCGUUGAUUUUGUCGUAUCUGUUCCAUUAUUGCUCUGUUAUCUGCUCCAUUAUUGCUCUUUUAUCUUAUCUUUCCAGCUGGCAUUUUGUCUUCUUUAUUCUAGAUGUACCUCUGGAAUAAUAUUAUCUUCUCCAUUGCACCUCGAACAUUGGUGGUCUGGAUAUUUAUGUCCAAUUAUUUUACAGUAUCUUGUUAGUAGUCCUUCUGAAAUAAAUCCCUUUUUUAUUGCUCUCGCGGUAGAUUGUUUUUCUGGGUUAAGUAGCGUCAUUAUCCAUUGUCUUACGUCUUCCAUAUCUGCUUGUCGUAGCUCUUUUGAAUUUGAAUAUAUCAUUUGAUGAUCUCUUNNNN
rnacentral:lncRNA from 1 species